AAGAAAUUUCCUUGGGCCAAAGGCCCAAGUCUCAAAAACAAACCCACGACCCGGUUUCCUGAAAGCAUGACCAUCAUCCAAAAUGCAACAAUGAUGAAGAAAUCCGCCUCACUCUCAAACAAUCCAAACACGUUAAUGUUGAGCAUUAGAUCCAUUCACCGUCGACGUUGCGAGUUCUUGACCGAUGGUUCUACGAGCAAAACUCGAAUCGUUAAGAAUGAUGAAGUUCAACGUCGUCGUCACGUUUUACAUUUCCAUUUCGAAGAAUGAUGAAGGCCAACGAGUUCUGAUUUCUCAAAUCUCUCAUGUUGAAGAUGAAACCUUUUUGGACUGUGGGUUCCUUUCUUCCCUUCAUGUGUGCGUUGUUAUUGUAUGUGAUGAAGGGUGUCGGAUUGGAUCUUCGUGAUCGUUCCUCUCCAUAUCGCGCUUACGUUCGUUCUGCUUCUGUUUGUUUUCUGCUCCGUGAGGUUGUGGCCCCGAGACUAAGAGUGUGUUAUUUCUGAAUUGAUGGUGAUGGUGAUGAAUUGUUGUUGAUGCGUUAGGUUACCGAUUGGAACAAAGAGAGAAAGUGAUUUUCGCUCCGCGUCUUCAACAAAAACGAAUAGGUUUGUUCGCAAGUUGUUAGAGGCUAUGGAGGGUGGUUCAACUGAAGAUGGUCAAGGUUGAGGGAGUUGCAAAUGGUUUGGAGAGAGGUCGUGGUUGAAUGGAGGGUGGAGAAGGCUCUAUUGAGUUUGUGUUUCCGGUUGUUAGAAGUGAGGGUGAAGAAGUUACUGGAAAUGGUUGGUGGUUCGGUUGUGCAGAAAUGGUUAUCGAUUAGUUGGGUUGAAGAAGUGAUGGAAGAUGGUUGAAGAAGGGGUUAUGGAAGAUGAAGUUAGUUGUAUGGAGGAGUUGAAAGUUGUUAGAGUUUAGAGAUUUUCAGUUAGGAGUCUGUUAGGAGGUUAACUAAUCGUCAGUUCUGUUACAAACCGUUUUGUGGAGGUGUGCUUUUUUGCAGGUUUUUGGUCUUGUUAGAGAAAAAAGGAAGGGUGGUUAUUGGAGUUAAUGGUGAAGUUUGGUUAGAAGGUUGCAGCGGCAACUUUUCGGUGGUUAAUGCGCUUGUGCGUAUCGUUUUGCUGCCAAUUUAUACGUUCCAUUUCAUUUUGGAAAUCCAGCUACGUUUGUACAUUGCUUUUCUUCUAUGCAACCGUUGUUGUACUCCCUUUUCACUUUUGCCUUUUUUGGAUAUUAAUUACAUGGGCUUAUUGAAAUGGCUUUUGGAUUGGUUCUUAAAAGUUUAAUGGAUUCAUUGGAUA